CGGUUUGUAGGCGUUAGAGUGGACGUGGCAGAAAGUUUUUUGGCAAACCCAUAGAAAUUUACAUAUUUUUACGCCCAGCGCUAUGGGAUCAAAAGAGCAAUAUCUAUCAUAAUAGAAUCUUGGUGGAAAAAAAUUGGACAGAGAUGGAAAACAUAUUUGAAACAGAAAAAGGCUGUUUAAAAAAAAAUGGAAGAACAUCCGCGACCAGUUCCGAAGCGAAUGGAAAAAAGUUCCUAUUCCCAAAUCUGGAGACCCUGGAAUUUCGGAGGAGGCUUAAAGCCAUUACACUUCUUGGCCUCAUUUCACCAGUUUGCUUUUUUUAAAAGACCAAAUGAAACCGCGCAAAUUGGUUGGAAGUUUUGACGCAUCAUCACAAUUUACCUUCGAGGCAGCUUCACCGGGAUUUUCAUCACAAGUGUCUCUAGAUGAGACCAUCUGUGAGGAAAUUCGAGAGCUUUGUGAUGAUCAACCAAUUUGUCCACAAAAAAAAAUCAAAAGAAGGUGACUGCAGCGGAGGAAUUGGUUGCUAUUGAACAACAAAAGUUGCUGUUGCUCGAAAAAAAAACAAAUGGCAAAAAAAAGAAAGACGACGACGAGGCAUUUUUUGAUUAUUAUUAUUAUGCCGAAUGGAAAUUCAAAAAACAAUUUUUAAUGUUUCUUUUGACGAUAUUUCCGAUACCGACAAACUAUAAUACACAAUAAAUAUAUUAAAAA